GGUAAGUGGGUGGCAGGAGGCGAGGUAAGAAGACGGGGGCAAACGUUGGUAGGAAACAUUGGGCGGAAAGCGAACGUAGGAGGGUUCGGAAGUCGGGUGGGAAAGCCCUCGGCGCAACCGAGGACGUGCAUCCGAAACUGCGGGGCUUGAGUGCUGAAGAGGAUCGCGGAAUUCCCGGUGUAGAGGUGAAAUUCGUAGAUAUCGGGAGGAACACCAGUGGCGAAGGCGGCGAUCUGGGCAGACACUGACGCUGAGGUGCGAAAGCGUGGGGAGCAAACAGGAUUAGAUACCCUUGUAGUC
rnacentral:rRNA from 1 species